rfam:Pan troglodytes isolate Yerkes chimp pedigree #C0471 (Clint) chromosome 5, whole genome shotgun sequence.
GAAUGUGAGGGCCAUCUGGCUGCAACAUCUUUCACCCCAUUGAUCAUCAGGGUUGAUUCGGCUGAUGUGGCUGGCUAGGGGGGUGUCCCCUUCCCCCCUCACCGCUCCGUGUGCGUUGCUCUGGAAGCUGUGUCCUGGGUCUAAGAGGACAACCAUCUCUAGCAGAAGAGGGCGGGUCUUCCCUCAAGAAUAUACGAGUAGCUGUGCUUCCCUGCUAGGACCUCCAAACAAGCUCUCAAGGACAGGCUAUCAAACAAUCCCAUGUGGUAAAAACAAUAAAUAAUGGCUCUCCUGGAACGUUUUCCUUCAAAUUAUGAUUUCAUGG